CUUCGGAUCUAGUGGCGGACGGGUUAGUAACGCGUGGGAACGUACCCUUCACUACGGAAUAGUCCCGGGAAACUGGGUUUAAUACCGUAUACGCCCUUCGGGGGAAAGAAUUUCGGUGAGGGAUCGGCCCGCGUUAGAUUAGUUAGUUGGUGGGGUAAUGGCCUACCAAGACUACGAUCUAUAGCUGGUUUGAGAGGAUGAUCAGCAACACUGGGACUGAGACACGGCCCAGACUCCUACGGGAGGCAGCAGUGGGGAAUCUUAGACAAUGGGGGCAACCCUGAUCUAGCGAUGCCGCGUGAGUGAUGAAGGCCUUAGGGUCGUAAAGCUCUUUCGCCUGUGAUGAUAAUGACAGUAGCAGGUAAAGAAACCCCGGCUAACUCCGUGCCAGCAGCCGCGGUAAUACGGAGGGGGUUAGCGUUGUUCGGAAUUACUGGGCGUAAAGCGCACGUAGGCGGAUUAGUCAGUCAGAGGUGAAAUCCCAGGGCUCAACCCUGGAACUGCCUUUGAUACUGCUAGUCUUGAGUUCGAGAGAGGUAAGUGGAAUUCCGAGUGUAGAGGUGAAAUUCGUAGAUAUUCGGAGGAACACCAGUGGCGAAGGCGGCUUACUGGCUCGAUACUGACGCUGAGGUGCGAAAGUGUGGGGAGCAAACAGGAUUAGAUACCCUGGUAGUCCACACCGUAAACGAUGAAUGCCAGUCGUCGGGUAGCAUGCUUAUUCGGUGACACACCUAACGGAUUAAGCAUUCCGCCUGGGGGAGUACGGGUCGCAAGAUUAAAACUCAAAGGGAUUUG
rnacentral:rRNA from 1 species